UUAAGAAGAAGUGGUUCUGCUGGGCAUGGUGGCUCACUCCUGUAAUCCCAGCACUUUGGGAGGCUGAGGCGGGCGGAUCACAAGGUCAAGAGAAGGAGAUCAUCCUGGUCAACAUGGUGAAACCCCGUCUCUACUAAAAAUACAAAAAUAAGCUUGGUGUGAUGGUGUGCACUGGUAGUCCCAGCUACUCGGGAGUCUGAGGCAAGAGAAUUGCUUGAACCCGGGAGGUGGAGGUGGCGGUGAGCCGAGAUCAAACCACUGUACCCAGCCUGGUGACAGAGCAAGACUCUCUCUCUCAAAAGAAAAAAAAAAAAAAAAAGAAGGGAUUCUGAAUCCUCAGGUGCCCAGGAGCUCUCAUUGCCCUGCUGGCUAGACCUGAAAGCUGGUGUUUACCAUGCUCUUCUCUGUGUCCCAGAGAACAAGCCCCCAGGAAGUAGAAGGGAGUUGUUUGCUGUGAUUUCACUGCCUCUGCGCUGAGUAGGGAUGCAGAUAGAUGUUCCAGCAAUGGGGCAGCUUUGCUUGAGAGAGUGCCCAGAGGGCUACAGACAUCAGCAGCACCCCAGGACCGCAGUGAAGGGGCCUCGGGAGGGAAAGCACUUCCACUGUUCCUAAUCCUGGCAGACAGCCAUUGCUCGAGACCUUGACCUGUGACCUCCCAGGCUCCCAAGAGGCCCACAGUGUGUGACCAAUCAAGAGGUAGUUUUCACAUUUGCCCCCUGUGGCAAAUAAUACAUCCUCAUAUUAAAAGAAUGCUAGCUUACUAGGGACACAGCUCAUUUGUCUCCGGUCUGUCCCUUGGGGAAAUAGCUUAAUUGUACCCAAAGCGUAAGCACCGUCUGAAAAUCCAACAGACUUUCUUUCCUUCCCAUCCAGGUAUAAAUUCACCUGAAACUAUGCUUUAGGAUGGUCAAAGCUUCAGGCUUCCAGAAGACUACUCCACCCAGCCUCGAAACAGGCAUGACGGAGGAAACUGAGGCACAGUGAGGCCAAGGCCCACUGCUCAUGAAGCUGAGCUUCAGACCCAGCCCUGCCAGCCACCCAGUCUGGCCUCCCACUGGCCAGCAGGAUUGCUCCUCCCGAGGGGGCGGAGAAGCAAAGGCUGCUCUUUUCAAGGCUCUGCGGUUUCAGCAGAACAUUCGCUUGUCAGGUCAGCAUUUUACAGUUGCCACUGAACCGCGGCUUCCAGCCCUCCUGUGAGAGAGUCAGAGCAUUUAAGAAACCACCAGCUCCUUCUGAGGAUUAGGGCAGAAGCCUGCCAGGCUGCUCCAUCUGAACUGGCCCAAGCCUCAGCUGCUUCCCCUUCAGGGGUUCCAGUCCCGCAGUGUGUAUUACAAGCAAGGGGGUUUGCAUGGCAAGGUCUCCUCCACACCAGAUGCUCCCCUAGACAGCUUGUGAGGACCACCCGAGUCCUCACUCCCGAUCCUCUUGAGAACAAGUGCUUUUUCUCACAGGAGGGAGAGGCCACUCUCCUCCUCUGCCCCACCUCUUUAUCUCUACAGCAACGUCAUAUGAGGUGAGACUAGGACGAUAAGCUAUCUAGGGGGGAUCUCUGUGUAGUAGUGGGGAGCAUUUUAAGCUUGCAUGCCGAAUAUCAGGUUUUUUCAGUUUGACGGAGUACAUCAGUAAGUUACCCCCCACCAUCACCACCACCAGGGCUGCCACACUGCACGUCUCAGUCCUUCCUGGGGCCCUGCCAGUCCCUAACCCUGCGCCCCAGCCCCCGGCUUCCCUGAGAAAGCUUCCUCCUUUGUACUUCCGCCUUACAGAUCUGGCUUGCAUAUCUUUUCACUCUGCCUUGCAAAUCAUCUCCCACUUUUCAGGAAAUUUCACCUUCAAAGUCUGGGGCUUGAUCUUACCCCAAAGCAUCCCCUUCUCCUCAGCACCAUUCUAUAAGUCUGAGUUGUUUAGCCUGGAAUGAUAUCCAGAGUCAGCAGGACCGAUCACAGUGAGUAGGGGCACACUGUUCCAUAAAACAGAAUUACCACCGGAGGACCAGGUAUGCUUCUUUAUUUUUUCGAUGAACGAGUGCAUAACUUUUAUAUUUUAUUUUGUUUUACUUUGAGAUGGAGUCUCACCCUGUGGCCCAGGCUGGAGUACAGUGGCACAAUCUCAGCUCACUGCAAGCUUUUUGCCUCCCUGGUUCAAGUGAUUCUUCUGCCUUAGCCUCCCGACUAGCUAGGAUUACAGUCAAAUCUUUGAAGUGGACUCUGGAGUUGGGGGACAAGUGACAAACACUACAUCCAUAACGCCAAGCAGGGUAGAAGAUUGGCAGACAUGAUUAAGCGAUCGCAGCACUCUCCCACCAUCCUGGGCUGAUCUCUCACCGGCAUUCUCAGUCCAUCACUCUCGGCGGCCACCACAGCUUGAUCAAAGGUGAUAACCAUGGUGAAACCUAUUUCCUAUUCUUGGUAUAAUGGGAAGUACACUGGGCGGCUAAUAAAAGACCUGGAUUCCGGGUGCAACCCUGCUUGCCAUUGACUCACUGGGCCUGGCUGUUUACCUCUUUAGACCUGUUUCUCACAUGAGGUAGUUGAGCAGGUAAUUAAUUGGUUCCAAUCUCAUAUCAAGGCUAAGUGAGUCGCACUGAUGAUUUGGGUGAGGAGGGGCCGAAGGAGUCCAGAAAAGAAAGGAUCGCUAUGGGUCAGUAGCCCUGGGAGGGUCUCUAAGUUAGUAGCAUUCAUGUCAAAGCUGAUGGACAUUUUUAGAUAAACAGGAGGGAGUUCCAAGUAGAUGGGAUCUGCAAAGGCCUGGAUCUGAGAACGUCCUGAACAGGGAGAGGGCCUGUAAAUGAGCAGUGGUCACCUGAAUUCCUAUGCUACUAAAAUCUCAGAAUUCACCACAAUAGAAUAAAUCCAUGUAACCAAAAACCACUUGUAGCCCAGAAGCUAUUAAAAUAAAAAAUAAAGUUUUUCCUUUUUAUUUAAAAAGGAAGAAAGUUCCUAUGCUAGAUGCCAGCAUUCUUUCUCUCAAUAAACGUUUCUUGUAUUCUACCCUGUGUCGGGCAUUUUGCUAAGUGCUGAGAUCUUCCUGUGAAUGAGACAGGAGCUACUACUACUGUAAGCCAGCUUUUGUUCAUUUUGUGGUUUUCGGUAAAUACAGAUGGGAUCAUGCUGUGUUGCUCAGACUAGUCUCAAACUCCUGGCCUCUCGCCUCCCAAAAUGCUGGGAUUACAGGCGUGAGCCACCAUGCCUCGCCCAAGCUAGCUUUUACCCUCAGCAAAGCAUAAACAUGACUGGAAACAAGGGCCCUGUGGCUCUUCUGGAGGAGCAGAGAGAUGCAUUUUAACAGCACGGUAAGUGGGGCCAAGUCAUCUGGCUUGCCCUCAGCAUUUGCAGUGAAGAUAAGUGAUGUACUUCACGUAAAAAGCACUUUGCCGACUGUAAAAUCCUCCACAGAU